UGGGAUGUGUUGAUAGUUGAAAAAGAGACGGAGAGAAUGAAUCUAAGGAUUCUCUUUAUUGAUUGAAGGAUUGGUGUGGUUACAUAUUUAUACAUGGGUGGCCCCUUCGAGGGUUUGCUCUUUCAAGGGUUGGCUCAUGAAAGGAUCACAAUUAUCUACCUAAUUGAUCACUGAUAUAAAAUGUUUCACAACAUAUUUGUGCGCUAAUGUGAGGGUGAGAAGGAGGCGGGCAAAUCCUGCACCAAAACGUUGUUCCGCCCUCGUAUUGGCGUGGCGGACGUGGGCAAAAGCCAAACAGCCCUACGAUGGCUAGACUAGUCGUCUGUGUUUGAGCGGCCUUGUAGUCCAUUUAAAUGGUGGUUUAGCCCAUGUGCGACCAAGUCUUUAGAAUUUAGAUGAGCAAUGCAACCAACCACAAUAAUCGUUGGACUUGUUACAUAUCAGGUUGAUUGUUAAUUCUAGUGUUUACCAUUAGAACAUGUUAUUUUUGUUGUCUGAGUUCCACUGGUCGUGAUGAAAGUGUGGUUCCCACAUCGCUGUUUAUGUAAAGUUAAUGUCAAUAAGAAAGCUUUGUACUCAAUAUACUUGACUGUAGCUAUCAAGUUUUUCAAUUUUAAGUUAACGAACCAAUUUAACUUAAUUAUAAUUAGUUCAUGCACUAUAAUUAAAUAAUUUUUAUUGUUCUCAUUAAUUAGUUAAUUGGUCAUUCCUUUCCUUACACAACACAUGGCUAAUAUUUACUCCAAGAUGGUUAUAAUUAAAUACUAAAGAAAGAAAACAUUUCACUUUACUCAUUCUUCGAGCAAUAUAUUAGAUGCAUUGCUUCGUUGUUCUAUUCUUGCUACUCCCUCC
rnacentral:lncRNA from 1 species